UGAUGGUCACUGAAAUAGACUUGGAGAGGACAAUGGCUCGUCUUGAAUUGGCUGAGAGGUAUUUUAGUCCGGGAACCGCUGCGUGGGCAAAGUGUAGCAGUGGUGGCGCAUACGGCUAAUACUGGCGAUUAGGUUUUAAGAACAAACAAAAACUUGGAAUUAUCUUGUGAUAAAUUUGAAGAACAGGCAAAUGAAUAUAAAAAGUCAGUUCAUUGGAACUGAUUUAGACAACUGACGAUAGCUACAAACGAACAUUCGAACGUCCAAUACAGAAUAAAAACAUUGGAAGCUCACUCAAAUGAGGCAUAUAACAAGGAAGAAGAAUACGAGGCUACAAUCAAGAAACUGAGAGAAGAUUUGUAUGAGGUAAUGUGCAGCUUUGCUAUGCGGCAUAAUUUGUCGAGUUUAAUGGAAUUUAAGAGCGAGACAAGGGCAGCAGAGUUCGAUAGGGUGUCCAAUAAGCGUCAGCAAGACAUCGAUAGACUAGAAGAAGAACUCAUGUCCGAGAAAAGAAUAUACAAAGAAAUAAGCGCCAAUAUUGAUUUAGCAUACGCAGAACUUGGAGGAUUCUGACUGAAACUAAUUUUCUAACAUAACUUCUAAUCUAAUUUUUAACAGUUUUU